CCAAUCUGAGGGUGCAAUGCAAUAAAGUUCUUUGGGCUAGAUUUUGAAGGCCCAUCGCAUAUGGCAAAGGGUGGAGAAGCUUCAGAAUCACUCCAUUUCAAUUUUUAACUUACCAGACCCCUCUCUCUUUCUCUCUCUCUCUCUGAUCAGAAAUCGCUCCACGACGCCGGAGGAGGCAGAGCAACCUAGAACAACACCAUAUUACCAUCAUUGAAUUUUUUUUGUCUCUUCUAUCCACCUCUAACCUUCAACUUACCUAAAUUUCAAUGUGUCUUCCAAUUCGAACAAAAAACAUCAAUAACCCUAAAAUACUCAAACCUAAAUUAAAUGACCUAGGAGGGGAACCAAAGCAGGAGACUUUGGGCUUUGAUUCCCCUUUACAACCUCUACAUCCUAGUAACACAAUUGAGGCGAAAUGAAGAAGAAAGUGGAGAUAUGACUUGGGAAGUGUUGAAGAUUGAAGAUGUAGAUGGAGAUAAGAAGACUAGAGGAUGCAACCAAGUAACACUUCAAAUUUUCACGUUUUUCAAUUUCUUCUUCCUCCUCCUCCUUCUUCUUCUUCUAAAUAGCCUGUAGGAUUUGCUAUGUUGUUGUUGUUGUUGAGUGGAGAGAAUGUAGAGGCUUAGCUCAGUUGAGGCAAAACUUUAAUGUGAAGUUUUACUCAACAAUGGAGAUUGAUCUUUGAGUGUAUUUUUGGUUGUGAGAGAGAGUGAAGAGAAUUUUGCAGAGUGUUGAAUGUGAGUUGUGAUUGUACAUUAAGAUUGAAGAGAGGUUUGUUUAUAUAGAGGGUUGAAGAUCAUAUUUGGAGGGAGAGUUUGCUAACAGAUUUGGUCAACUUAGGGCAAAGGAAGUUAGAAGUUAGAAGUUAGGUUAGCUGUUAGAGUUAGUUAAUUUUAAGAGAAAAUUAGUUAGUGCUAACUAACAAUGUUAGUUUGAGUUGUUAGUUAAUUAGUUAAUGUGUUAACUGCGAUAGCUAGACUAUUAGUGAAUUAAUGAAGAAGUAGUUAGUUUUCUUAAUGGGACUGUUAUGUUAUUUGAAUGGAAAUUAGUUGAACUGUUAUGGUAAUUGGUUAGAGAUUAAAGGAAAUGUUAGUCUAGGUUUAGCUUGAGUUAGUUUCAAAUUGACAGUUAGAAACUUUUGCCAGUUAGGAUAAGUUAACUUGCACUAUUAGUGAGGAAUUGUUAGUUAUGGUAAUUAGAUUGUUAGUUUUAUCAGUUAGCAGUUAGUUGGUUAGAAAUUUGGUAGUUUGUUUGAUUUAAUUGGAUUUUAUGGUAACUAGUUAAAAGAUUAGAGAAAAUGUUGGUGGUUAAAAAACAGUUAGGGUUAGUGAUUAUGUUAAUAGUUUGAAAAACUAUUUAACUGUUAGAAUAUUAUUUGACAGUUGAUGAAUUUGUUAACUAUCUUGGAAAUUAAAGGGGAAUUGCAUUAGAAUUUUGAAAGAAAAGAGUUAAUUAAUGGUUAGAAAAAAACAGUUGCCUAUUCUAUAGUUAGAAGUUAGAAAUUGGCCUAAGUAUUAUGUUAAUGUUAGCAUAGUGAAUAGUUUUAUUGGAAAUUUACAAUUGUGUGUUAUGUUGGGUAGCUCAGGUUAAUGAUAAUUGGCUUGUGAUAGUUAGAAGUGGAAAAUAGAAAAUGAAUUGAAUGAUGUGUCUUGACAGUUACAGGUUUUAAAUGCUAGUGUGUUUGUAAGUUAGCAAUUUCGAUAGGUAGAGAUGUUAGGUGUUAGGCUAGUUUUGAACUAUUUAUGGAUUUUGGAAGUGAAUUGAAAUGGUUAGUGCUUCAAUUAGUUAUUAUGGAUUUUGUUAGUUAGAGUUUGAGUCAAUGUAUGAUGGCAAGUUAGAUGUAUGUGAUGGCUGUUUGGAUGCAUUGCCUCAUGUAUGCUGCUAGGUGUAACACCUCAAAAUUUGCCCUCCUCUCUUGGGACUAGCAUAACAUAUUAUAUAUCAUUUUUAGGUCAUUAGGCAUUGCAUAUUGCAUAUCAUGUGAUCACAUUGUGCAAGUUAUCCUCCCAAGUCUUGAUCAGAAGAUAGGAGGUUAUGUGCAAGCUAGGGUUUCAUUGGAUUGGUCAUUAAUCAUCUGAGGAUGUGGAGGUCCAAAUUAGGGUUUUGUGAUUCUCAAGGAGAUUGGUCUUCAUCUUGUUUGAAAUGAUUCAUCAUCAUCAUCAUGGUUUGUCAUCAUCAAGUGUUGGAGCAUAUUCCUUGAGAUUAGGGUUUUGACCAUGUUUGAAAUGAUUCAUCAUCAUCAUCAUGGUUUGUCAUCAUCAAGUGUUGGAGCAUAUUCCUUGAGAUUAGGGUUUUGACCACUGGUCAACCCUAAUCAGUUGCAUUGGGCCAAUCAGGGCAUGGCUAGGAGAUGGGGUCUACAAUAUAUAUGGGGAUCAUCCCAUGGUUUUAUUGAGCUAAUUGAGGCUAGGGUUUCACCCUUGAGCCAUUUCAUCAGAGAAUUGGGGCUCAGAUUGAUCAAUGCAUUGCCAAAUUCAUCUAUCAGUUGAAAAAGUCAACUGUGGUCAACUGUGCUUGAUUUUAUGGAUUUGGAGGUGGAAGAGAGUUGGAUACACUUCAUUCAUGUUGGAACAAGUGUUGUUUGACAUUUCAAAGCUCAAGAAUGAAGAAAAUAAAGUCAGAACAAAAAUUGCCAAAAAUAGAAAGUGACUUGUAAUGGAAGUUUCCAAAAAUGGAAAGUUUUUCACCAUGAAAUUACAUGUCCAAAAAAGCUUCAAAUGAAAAUUUGUUCAACAUGAAAGUUGUAGAUCUUGGUCUCACCUUUCCAAAAAGUCCAAGAACUUGAAAUUCCCAUGUAUGGUUGGCAAGUUAUGGUCCAUUCAAUUUCAAAAAUGACCCAUAAUCAAAGUGGCAUAAUCCACACUGGAGUGUCCAAAUUGAGUGAUCUUUUUAUGUGCAAACUCCAUUUGACAUGUACUUUCAUGGUGCAUAAUUGAAUUCAUCAAAAAUGGUCAAUGCAAAAGGUCAAUUUUCAAGUGUCAAUUAAAAAGUCAAGGGCAAAUUGGUCCAAGUUGAGAAAAUUGAAUUUUGGCAUGGGGAUUUUGCAACACCUCACAUUUUGCAAUUAGAAAUGUCUCAACUGUCAUAAACUUUCAAAGUCCAAUAUUUGACUAAGUCAUUUUGGAUUGCACUUGAAAUUGCAUAUUUUGGCAUAGCAUGUUGAAAUAAAAAUUACAAAGCCAAUUGCCAUGGAAGACAAGUGCCAACACAUCACAGCUGGUAUUGGAGAGUGUGUGAGCUUGUCAUACAGCUGUCAUGGGCCCGCAGGGUGAAAAGACAUUUUUGCCCUUGCUUUGAAAAUUGCAUUUAUGCUAAUUACAAUUCAUUUUUGUUAAUUGGAGAUUAAGGAGGUGGAUUAAGUGGAAGUAUUUAAACUUAAAUCAUAACUGAAUUUGGAGGACAAUCACAAAUCACAAGAAUCUCUAACAACUUUUCCCUCCAAUUCUCCAAAUUCAUCAGAACAUUCAAGACAAAAUUCAUCCAAACUCCUUCAAUUCAUCAUCAAUUCGAUUGAAUUCUUUUUGCUCCUCCUCCAAUCAUCUUCCUCUCAAACUGUUUUGGUAAUUAUGCAUCAAAAGGACAUUGGAUCCGUGGCUGUUCAUCCUUGGUGCAUUAAUGGCAAAUCGCAAUUUCUUCCAAUAGAAGCAACCUUGAGCUUGCCUGAUCAUUCCAACUGCCUUGCUGAACUUCAAUCUUCAUCUGUUUGGAGGAAUUUCGCGCAAUAGCUCAAAGAAUCAACACUGUCUCCAAUUUAAGGUGUGAAUUCGAAUGUCACUAUUCUUUCAAUUUCCCUAUGCGUUCUAUAGUGCUUUCCAUGUAGAUGAUCGUGCUAGGUGUAGUUUUUGAAAUGGUGAACUAUAGGAUGAGUUAUCGCGUUUGAAAGAUUUGAUGUCAAAACCUAAUUUGAUCGAUCCGGAUUGUACAGUUAGAUUUAGGAUAAAUUGAUCACAUAUUUGAAAUCCUCAUGCUUAGACCUUUCCAAUGGAUAUCCGUUUGUGUAUUUUGGUUGAGGAAUGAGCGAAACCGAUUUUGGAAUGUUGAAGAACACGAGCGCGGUGAAGAAGAAGAGUUCUGGAAUUUCUUUUGCGUUUAAUCCAUUUCUUUUGCCUGGCCGUUUGAAAAUGUUGUUUCCCGCUUGUUCCAUCCAGUAGCAUGGCGCCAGCGCAUUAAUGUGCUGCGACGUCGUUUUAGGCUUGGGACGGAUUAUUACAGUUCUGCCACUGCUCCAUUAAUUAAUUCAUAUCCAAAUUAAAUAAUUAUUCAAUAAUUCAUUUAACUUAUAAAAAUCAUAAAAAAUUCAAUUUAGAUCCAAAAAUAGUGAGACUUUUUUUGUUGGAUUCAUGAUUUUCUCUAGAAUUUUAUAGGCAUGAUACCAUAAGUUGUGCAUGGAGAAAUUUUGACCUUGCCUAUUGAUCUUUGACUUGUGUGCAUAUUUUGUAUGUUUUGCCAUUUUUAUUAUGAAAUGCUCAUACUUCUAAAGAAAUGAUUGAAAUUUUUUGUGCUUAUUCUAGACAUGUUGAUGGUGAUUUCCAUGUAAAGUUUAUGAUUUUUGGAUACCUGGUGUUUGAGAUAUGAUUUUUUGAAUCUAGGUGUGACAAUUUGUGUCACACCUAGCUAGGUCAACUUUCUGGUUUUAUUUGCAUGACCUAGGAUUGUUGAAUUGCUCCAAUUUUUUGCAUGGAUGAUCAUUGAUAUGUCAAGAUAACAUGUGAUUUUUGCUGGAAUUUUUGAUGUCAUUUUCUAAUUGAUUGAUAAUUUUCUUCACUGUUGGUUCAUUUUGUGACAUUGUGUGAUACAUGUUGGCAUUUUGUUUGUGAAAUUCUCAUAUGGUUUUGGAUGAUGAUGAAAUUUGGUAUGCUGAUUGUAGACACAUUGUAGGACAUCAUGCUUUUGGUCCCAUUCAUUUCUAAUAUGUUGUCACUGUUUUAUGAAUUUUUGAAGUGGAUGCUUGCUUGAAUGUUUUGGUUUGGCUUGAAUAAUUGUGUCUGGAUUUCUUGAUUUUCAUUGACCUACUUUCUUUUGUCCAAUUGAGCUGAAAAUUGACAUGCUACUUGUUGAUUGUAUCCUGUUUAGGUGUGAAUUAUUUGAGGAUUUUUGGAAUUGUUUUGGUAUGCUUUUGAGUGAGAUAGUUCUGUUUGGUCAAUUGAAGUUGCAAAUUGCAUGUUUGAUGUUAAAUUGUGCAUGAAAUGAAGGUAUGCUUUUGAGUGAGAUAGUUCUGUUUGGUCAAUUGAAGUUGCAAAUUGCAUGUUUGAUGUUAAAUUGUGCAUGAAAUGAUAAUGGUGAAUGGUAUGAGCAUGGGACCAAUUGCAUUUGCUUUUGAAUUGUUUUAAUGAGAUUUUGGUUGAAUAUUACUUGCUGUUUAGAUUUUUUUCUCCCUUUUGGACCCUAGGCUUGGCCUAGGGGUCUAGUUUCUCACAUUUGGUGUGGAUUUUCAGGAUGAAAUGCACAAUGCUUAAUGAGAUUGCUUCAAGGCAAUUUAAAUUGAGAUUGUUUGAUGUUGAGAACUAACAUGACUUUGUUUUGUAGGUGGUAAGGCUUGAGCUUGGGCUUAUAGCUUGCACUUAUGUGCAUUAACUUGUGUUGCUUUGUACAGAUUAAUUGAUUAACAAUUUGCUGUUUACUGUUGGUUUGUCUGAGUACUGAUGAUACUUGAUUGAUUUCAGGUACAUUUAGUCGCUUACAGUUCUUUAAGAACUUGCUUGUUGCUGCUUGGUUUUUAAACCACUUGAGGUAGGACUUCUAUUCUUCAUGUAGUCUGGAGACCUGGCUGUUACUUGGCCAGGCAACUGUCUGAAAGUCGCUCCUUAAGAGGCGAUGUUGUGGUUUUUACAUUUGUGCCCAGGCAGGUAAGAACCCUCUAUGAGGCAAUUGGUGGAUCAAAGGAUAGCAUCUAUCCCCCCUAUUCUGUGAGUCGUCCUCUGCUCACACAGGCUGGUGUGUUGAUGCUUGGGACACAAACCCAAACUCUUGUGCUGUUGCAAAUCGAGUCAGAUCUUUGAGCGUAGAAGGUCCCCUUCAUCUCUGGGACGCCACGCCCUUUGUCUGAAAGCUCUCCUGGCCAAGGGAUAAGAGCUGUGAAGUCCUAAUUCUUAUCCACCUAUUCAUCUGCUUCACUUAGCCUCGCAAUGCAAGGUUAAGAGCGAGCAAUACCAUGUACAGAUGACUUUGCUGAGGCAGUCAAACCCAUUUGUUUGAGCCCACUUGACUGAAUAUAGUGUGUGCUUUUGUGAAAUAUUUUUUGCUCUGUUUGCUUGUAUGCUUGUAUUGCAUUGUUUUCCCCUGAUGGAUUAGCUUGCAGUGGUGCAAGGUAGGUAGAACACAAGGUAGGGCAAUGAUGCCUGACACACUGGCUCGAGACCCUCCUGGUGUGUGUCUUCCCUUGGUUUCUGGCUAGAUUUUCUCCCCUUUGGGGGAACUUACUCGCCUGAUCCUACGUUCCAGACGAGGUAUGUAGGCAGGAGACCGUGCGAGGUCUCUCCGGGCAGACUUUUUCUUUUCUUUUGUGUGUGUUUGCUUGUUAUCUCUGGUGUGUGUUUUGGUUCGGAUUGCGCGAUGUAGUCCAUGAUUUGGCUUUCCGGCUCCACGUUUGCCUCUCUUGUGUCGUGUUUGGUUCGGAUGCUGAUGUAGCCGUGAUUGGCAUUCAGCUCCACGUUUGCCUGUUUGGGUGCAUUGUGUUGUUUGGCGCGUGAGCCGAACUACAGUUAGCUCGAUUCUCGUUCAGACGAGAUACGUAGGCAUAGGAUGGCGACGUCCUAUCGAGCUCUCUUCCUUAACCCACUGUGUUGCUUAGCGUGCGGUGUGUUGAUGUUUGUCUGUUUUCUUUUUAGCAACCUUUUCUUUUCUUAGAGCGUGGAUCCCGUCGAGUACGACGGACGUGAGGGGUGCUAAUACCUUCCCCUUGCGUAACCGACUCCCUUACCCUUUCUCUUUGGUCGCGAGACCAUGCUUUUCCAGGUUUCUCUAAGCGUUUCCUUUCCCUAUUUUGGGAUAAAUAACGCGCAGUGGCGGCUCUGUGUUGUUUUUUGUUUUAGCCCGCCGGUUGUUUUUCGCGGAUGCGACACUAGGUGUUUUUCCUUUUUUAUGAUGUGUGCAAUGGAUAUGCAUGCUGACUUUUAGAAUGUGAAUUGUGGUGUAUGUUUGUGUAUUGAAUGAUCAUAACUAGACUUGUAUGUGUGUAUGAUGCAUACAUGUUGAGGUUAUGUUUUGCAGGGCUGGUGUGAAUCAAGGUUGGCAUGGCAUCAAGAACAUGAAGAAAUUUUGGAGACCUUGGAGGCAUAAAGAUGGAAUAUCUUGAGGAUGAAGAGAAAAGACAGAUUAGAAUUUAGUUUGACAUUGGUCAACUGUUUGACCAAGAGUCAACAGUUGACCCAAAAGUCAACCUUAUGUCAAAAUAUGUAUCUUUUUUGUGUACAAUGUAAUUUUGGCUUUUUUGUUAUUGAAACUUUGGCUUUUGAAUGUGAUUUAUGACUUAUUUUCCAAGAUAUGAAUUUUUCCUCCUCUUUAUGAAUUUGA
rnacentral:lncRNA from 1 species